rnacentral:rRNA from 1 species
UACGGGAGGCAGCAGUGGGGAAUAUUGGACAAUGGGGGCAACCCUGAUCCAGCAAUGCCGCGUGAGUGAUGAAGGCCUUAGGGUUGUAAAGCUCUUUUGCCAGGGACGAUGAUGACGGUACCUGGAGAAUAAGCCCCGGCUAACUUCGUGCCAGCAGCCGCGGUAAUACGAAGGGGGCUAGCGUUGUUCGGAAUUACUGGGCGUAAAGCGCGCGUAGGCGGCUCUUCAAGUCAGGCGUGAAAGCCCCGGGCUUAACCCGGGAAUAGCGCUUGAUACUGUUGGGCUUGAGUCCGGGAGAGGAUAGUGGAAUUCCCAGUGUAGAGGUGAAAUUCGUAGAUAUCGGGAGGAACACCUGUGGCGAAAGCGGCUCUCUGGACCACAACUGACGCUGAGGCGCGAAAGCUAGGGGAGCAAACAGGAUUAGAUACCCUGGUAGUCCUAGCCCUAAACGAUGAUUGCUUGCUGUGAUCGGUACCCAAUCCGAUCGUGGCGAAGCUAACGCGAUAAGCAAUCCGCCUGGGGAGUACGGUCGCAAGGCUGAAACUUAAAGGAAUUGACG